rnacentral:rRNA from 1 species
CCUACGGGUGACAGCAGUGAGGAAUAUUGGUCAAUGGACGAGAGUCUGAACCAGCCAAGUAGCGUGAAGGAUGACUGCCCUAUGGGUUGUAAACUUCUUUUAUAAAGGAAUAAAACGAGGCACGUGUGCCUUUUUGCAUGUACUUUAUGAAUAAGGAUCGGCUAACUCCGUGCCAGCAGCCGCGGUAAUACGGAGGAUCCGAGCGUUAUCCGGAUUUAUUGGGUUUAAAGGGAGCGUAGAUGGGUUGUUAAGUCAGUUGUGAAAGUUUGCGGCUCAACCGUAAAAUUGCAAUUGAUACUGGCAGUCGUGAGUACAGUUGAGGUAGGCGGAAUUCGUGGUGUAGCGGUGAAAUGCUUAGAUAUCACGAAGAACCCCGAUUGCGAAGGCAGCUUACUAAACUGUGACUGACAUUGAUGCUCGAAAGUGUGGGUAUCAAACAGGAUUAGAUACCCUGGUAGUC